rnacentral:lncRNA from 1 species
UUCUUCCUCGUGUGAGAUUGUUGCUGGGCGAUCUCUCUUCUUCUCCUCUCGGGCUCGCGGUUGCCAUCACUAGCCACAUUCCCCCAAUGGAGAUCGUAUGAAGGCGAUCUCCUUCCUCUCUCACCUCAUGGCCAUUUCGCCCAAAAUAAGGGGAAGAGCCCAUUCAACCUCUUUUAAAUGGUCGCGAUGUCAACUGUUAUAUCUCUAG